rnacentral:rRNA from 1 species
AUUGAACGCUGGCGGCAGGCCUACCACAUGCAAGUCGAACGAGUGGCGGACGGGUGAGUAAUGUCUGGGAAACUGCCUGAUGGAGGGGGAUAACUACUGGAAACGGUAGCUAAUACCGCAUACCAUCAGAUGUGCCCAGAUGGGAUUAGCUAGUUGGUGGGGUAACGGCUCACCAAGGCGACGAUCCCUAGCUGGUCUGAGAGGAUGACCAGCCACAAUGGAACUGAGACAGGGUGCAGACUCCUACGGGAGGAAGCAGGGGGGAAUAUGGCACAAUGGGAGCAAUCAUGAUGCAGCCAUGCCGCGUGGAGGAAGAAGGCCGUCGGGUUGUAAAGUACUUUCAGCGGGGAGGCGUUACCCGCAGAAGAAGCACCGGCUAACUCCGUGCCAGCAGCCGCGGUAAUAC